AGGGAAUAUUGGGCAAUGGAUGCAAGUCUGACCCAGCCAUGCCGCGUGCAGGAAGAAGGUCCUCUGGAUUGUAAACUGCUUUUAUCGGGGAAGAAUAGGUUUCUUGCGAGGGACUGUGACGGUACCCGAUGAAUAAGCCACGGCUAACUACGUGCCAGCAGCCGCGGUAAUACGUAGGUGGCAAGCGUUGUCCGGAUUUAUUGGGUUUAAAGGGUGCGUAGGUGGUUUUAUAAGUCAGUGGUGAAAGCUGGUUGCUCAACAAUCAAGUUGCCAUUGAUACUGUUAGACUUGAGAGAAGUGGAGGUUCAUGGAAUGGAUGGUGUAGCGGUGAAAUGCAUAGAUAUCAUCCAGAACGUCGAUUGCGAAGGCAGUGGGCUGUACUUUUUCUGACACUGAGGCACGAAAGCGUGGGGAUCAAAC
rnacentral:rRNA from 1 species